rnacentral:rRNA from 1 species
GACGAACGCUGGCGGCGUGCUUAACACAUGCAAGUCGAGCGGAGCGGCGAACGGGUGAGUAACGCGUGAGUAACUGCCCCCCUCUCUGGGAUAACAGUUGGAAACGGCUGCUAAUACCGGAUAGUGGGGGAUGACUCGCGUCCUAUCGGCUUGUUGGUGGGGUAGUGGCCUACCAAGGCGACGACUGGUAGCCGGCCUGAGAGGGCGAACGGCCACAUGAGGCUAAGGUAGGGAGCAAACGGCUACGGGAGGCAGCGGUGGGGAAUAUUGCACAGUGAGGGAAACCGUGAGGAGGAAACGCCGGGGGCGGAAUGACGGCCUUCGGGUUGUAAACCGCUUUGAGCCAUGACGCGGUAGUGGCAGAAGAAGCACCGGCUAACUACGUGCCAGCAGCCGCGGUAAUAC